rnacentral:rRNA from 1 species
CCAUGCAGUCGACGCGAAGGGGAGCAAUCCCUGAGUAGAGUGGCAAACGGGUGAGUAACACGUGGGUGACCUGCCUUCGAGUGGGGGAUAACGUCCCGAAAGGGACGCUAAUACCGCAUGACAUUCUGCUUUUGGAAAAGCGGAAAUCAAAGCCGGGGAUCGCAAGACCUGGCGCUUGAAGAGGGGCCCGCGCCUGAUUAGCUAGUUGGUGGGGUAAUGGCCUACCAAGGCGACGAUCAGUAUCCGGCCUGAGAGGGCGGACGGACACACUGGGACUGAGACACGGCCCAGACUCCUACGGGAGGCAGCAGUGGGGAAUUGUUCGCAAUGGGCGCAAGCCUGACGACGCAACGCCGCGUGGAGGAUGAAGAUCUUCGGGUCGUAAACUCCUGUCGAGUGGGAAGAAUAGUCUCGGGGCGAAUAUCCUCGAGGCCUGACGGUACCACUAAAGGAAGCCCCGGCUAACUCCGUGCCAGCAGCCGCGGUAAUACGGGGGGGGCAAGCGUUGUUCGGAAUUACUGGGCGUAAAGGGCUCGUAUGCUGCCAACUAAGUCGGAUGUGAAAUCCCCAGGCUCAACCUGGGAACUGCAUCCGAUACUGGAUGGCUUGAAUUCGGGAGAGGGAUGCAGAAUUCCAGGUGUAGCGGUGAAAUGCGUAGA